AAAAAAAGAUCGUAAUUUUACAGGAAAUAACUGUAAAUUUGUAUAGUAAUUAUCAUGUUUUUUUAAAUAACUUGCAAAAUCCUGUAAAAUGACAGAUAUUAACUAUAAAUUAACAACCCAAAACAUUAUUUGAAGUAUUUUGACAAUAACAACAAAUAACGUUUAUUUCGUCUUUUUUUUACUGUAAAUUUACUAUAUAAUAUUUACAGUAUUUUUGCACUUUCAGAAAAUACAUGCAGAUGUACGUAAAAUAAAAUGUUUUUAUCUGUAAUUAAAUAUGUAACUCGUAAUAUAAAAGUGUAUUACUAUUAUAAGACUUUAAGAUGUUCUUUGUAAUUUUAAGGUAAACAUAAAACUGUAAGAAAAGCGUAAAAUAAAAAAAACGUAAAAUGUAAGUAAAACAUUUUUACAUAAAUCAUUUUCUCAAUAUUCGAUUGAAUCCAACAAAAACACAAAAUAUCCAAUGUUGAAACAAAAGUAAAUAAAUAUGUUCUCAUGAAAUUCCUAACUUACUAUAUUGUAAACAUCUACAGUUGACAAUAUCAUUAAAAAAAAAAAUCAUAGAAAGUGGAGAAAUCUCUGCAGGGAGGACCAAGGUUUAAAACACACACUGUUAUUUACUCAACAAUAAGUCACAGUUAUCCUUGUUUUAUUUAUGUGUUCUGUUGCUGUGUUUUUUUUCCAUUGGUCAAUUUACAGUAAUAAACCUUAGUUUUACAGUAUAAUGUAUGGUUUUCGGAUUCUGGCCGACAGCCAGAGCUACGGCACUUGAAAUAGAAUUCAGCCAAAACACGGCAGACAAGUCAGGCAUGUUUGGAAUGAGUCCACAACACUCCUGAUUGGUUAAUAUAAACAUCAUCGAAGAAACCUGCCAAUGAGAACUGUCCGCGCCUGUCGUUCACAUUUGAAACAUCCAAGUCAGUUUGAGCGGGUCUCCUCCUGCGAGCUACAGCUGUCUGUGUGUCUGCUGCAGGAGUUUAUGGAUUAAUAUCGGGAUCGUUUUACAUCUACACGUUAAAUAUGAGCAUCGGGACGUCAACAAAGAACAGAAGACUUGAGAUCUGAGCACCAGUGGACAGCGAAGACUAUGGAAGAGAAGAUGUGAUGGUUUUGUGUGGAAAGCUGCUAACGCCAGCCUGUGUCCCUCUCAUCAGUCUCUCCAGGCAGCACCCAGCUAUUCUUGCAGAUGAAAAUACUUUGAUAUCAUCUGGACACAGCAGGAACCUACGCCAGGAUCCUGUUUGUGGACUUCAGCUCUGCCUUCAACACAACACUCUGGCUGGAGGCUGCGCUCCAUCAGGACCAACACCUCUCUCCCUCAGGACCAGAACCUCUCUCCAUCAGGACCAACA